rnacentral:rRNA from 1 species
GUGCUGUCGUCAGCUCGUGUCGUGAGAUGUUGGGUUAAGUCCCGCAACGAGCGCAACCUUGUCAUUAGUUGCCAUCAUUUAGUUUGGGGCACUUUUAAAGAGACUGCCGGUGUUAAGCCGGAGAAGUGGGGAUGACGUCAAGUCCUCAUGGCCUUUAUGCCCAGGGCUACACACGUGCUACAAUGGGCGGUACAAAGAGAAGCAACCUCGCGAGGGUGAGCAAAUCUCAAAAAGCCGUUCUCAGUUCGGAUUGAAGUCUGCAACUCGACUUCAUGAAGUCGGAAUCGCUAGUAAUCGCGGAUCAGCAUGCCCGCGGUCGAAUACGUUCCCGGGCCUU